UAGCAACAGAACUUCAAAAUGUACAAAGCAAAAGUAGAUAAAACUGAAAGGAAGAAGAGGCAGAUUCACAAUUAUCACUGGAAACAUCAACACUCUUCAAUACUACAUGUUCAGUAAUCAAUAGACAAACAGAAAAUUGGUACGAAUGUAGGAGACCGAACACCACAAGGAAUGUGAAUUAUUUCACAUUUACAGAACACUCCAUCAAGUAACAGCAAAAUACUCAUUUAUUUUCCAGUGCACAUAAAAAUUCACCAAGAUGGACCGCAUUUUGGGCCAGAGAUCAGGAAACUUCUGUAUAAAAGCAUAAAGUGUCCAUUUCUAGUAGGAGUUUUGGAGAAUAAAGAAAACACCUUCUUAAGAAAAGAAGAAUAUUCUAUAUUACGGCUGGAGCUAAUCUUUCAGAUGGUGCCUAAUUGUGAAAGGACUGGAGUGCCUUGUAUCCUGCAGCUGAGUAAAUCACUGCACUUGAUUGUUUUCUGUUUUAUUCUAAAAAGUGAAGACUGUAAAUAA
rnacentral:lncRNA from 1 species